AUUGGACGCUGGCGGCAGGCCUAACACAUGCAAGUCGAGCGGAUGAAGGGAGCUUGCUCCUGGAUUCAGCGGCGGACGGGUGAGUAAUGCCUAGGAAUCUGCCUGGUAGUGGGGGACAACGUCCGGAAACGGGCGCUAAUACCGCAUACGUCCUGAGGGAGAAAGUGGGGGAUCUUCGGACCUCACGCUAUCAGAUGAGCCUAGGUCGGAUUAGCUAGUUGGUGGGGUAAAGGCCUACCAAGGCGACGAUCCGUAACUGGUCUGAGAGGAUGAUCAGUCACACUGGAACUGAGACACGGUCCAGACUCCUACGGGAGGCAGCAGUGGGGAAUAUUGGACAAUGGGCGAAAGCCUGAUCCAGCCAUGCCGCGUGUGUGAAGAAGGUCUUCGGAUUGUAAAGCACUUUAAGUUGGGAGGAAGGGCAGUAAGUUAAUACCUUGCUGUUUUGACGUUACCAACAGAAUAAGCACCGGCUAACUUCGUG
rnacentral:rRNA from 1 species